AUCUGAACUGUGUCGCUGGAGAGGCUUUGGUAAGUGCAUACGGCUGUGGAACCAGACCACUGUUCGGAGGUAGAACAUUACUCUCAUUCCAGAAAGUUCCCUUCUCACUCCUUCUCGCUGCACCCUGGUUGGUCACAGAGGUGAGGCUGAAGGAAGCCUCUGUCAAUCGUUGCCAGAGAGGUCUUCUUGGGGGGCUCCACGAGAGAAACCUUCACCUUUCCGAAGCAUGACGUCAUCUGUUGAUUUGUUUCCACGGUGUACGGGUGCGGGUGGCAGGGUUUGUGUUGGAGCCCAGAUGCCUCCUCGUGAGCCUGCUCCUGGCAUCCUGGAAACCAGAAGGGAUGAGAGAUACUUGCAGACUGGUUUCAGCUGGAGGUGGCUGGGGUUACAGCACUGAGACAGGGUCAGCCCAGUGCCUGCACAGAAAGGCGUGAAGAGGAGAUGCCAGGAAUGUCGAGAAAUAUCAGGAAAGUGUGCUGCUGAUGCCUUUCUAUCACUUUCGUCUUCCUUCCCUCUUUCUUUUUUCCAUUUUAAUGAUACAAAAAUAAUUCCAGAAUUUCAGAGAGGGGCUCUGUAGAUGUUAAGCCUUUCUGUUAUGAUUUUUAACUGCAAAGCCCUUGGGGGCAUUGGAUUUCCUAAUGUUUUGGGUAGCUGCAAAAUUUAAUUUUAGGUAGAAAAGGGUUAACUGAGGGUCACUGUAAUUCCCAAAUCAUCAGCUGCAAAUCAUCUAACCAUAUGUGAAAAAUUCAAUGACAUUAAAGGUAAUUCUCUGGGAAAGCAAAAAAUAAUAUGCCGUUCUUUGGCCAGAAGGAAAGAUUUGCAACAUUUCUUUAUGCAUAGAAAAUUCUCUAGUAGGUGAACUUGGAUUCAUGUUAGUCAUCAUGAGUUAAUGUCAAGUAUCUAGGAUUUAUUUAUUACUUUAGCUCUUUUUUUUUUUUUAAAUAAAGAAGAGUUAACGUCGUUUAGGUAGGACACAGAUACACUAAGACCAAUGCAGAUAAACUCAAGACAAAAACCAGAAAGAAAAAGGAAAAAGGAGAGGUUGAUAGAACAGUGAGGCCUCCUGACAGAGGAAAGCCUGAUCAAGUGAAUGUGGGUUCUGUCUGGUCAGUACUAUGGUGCCUAUUUCGUUCAUUCACUUAUUCACUUGUUUAUUCAUUAAUUCACCCAUUUCAGUGCAAUGAGAUGAUUUGUCUUGUAUGACCAUGGCACUGUGUUCACAAUAGUGAACAGGAUCCAGAAGUUUUUUGUUUGUUUGUUUUGCCCUCAUGGAGCUUGCAGUUUGCUUCAGAAGGCACGCAGACGAAUUAUUACAAUAUGCUAAGAUCUACAGGAUGCGCGGCGAGGUCUGGGAACAUCCAGGAGUUCACCUUACCUGGAUUGGAGAUGCCUUAUUUAAUAUACAGUUGGCUCAUUACCAUUGAACUCACAGCCAGCAGCACUAUAACUCAUACCUGAAGGAAGCUCAUCUCACACAGUUAUGUUCUCUGAAGUACGGUCUAGCGGGAUCAGUUGGAACCCUGUCCCUGACGUGCAACAUUCCGCAUGAACUUCUAUUUCCCGCCAGGGGACGAGGAAGCGAUUCAUGAAACAGUUAAACUCAAGGUCAUGCUCUCAGGGUCAUGAGGUCGAGUCCUGUGUUGGGCUCCACAUUCAGAGGUUCUCUGGAGGCAGCGCAUCCCAUCCAGCUAGCCCUCAGCGUGGAAAUCCUCCAAAUUUGCGUUUGGGGAAGGCAAGGGGCCGGGACUCCUUCUGACUCCUUGGGAGCAACUGGGAAGCUAAAGAGAGUGGGACAGGGCUCGUCUUGAGGAAGUCUAUUGACAAUGUGCCUACUAGAAUAAAGGUUAACAUAUAUUUA